rnacentral:rRNA from 1 species
UCAUGGCUCAGGAUGAACGCUGGCGGCGUGCCUAAUACAUGCAAGUCGAACGCUUUGUCUUUAACUGAUAUGAAGAGCUUGCUCUGAUUUGAUUUUAUCUGACAAAGAGUGGCGAACGGGUGAGUAACACGUGGGUAACCUACCUCUUAGCAGGGGAUAACAUUUGGAAACAAGUGCUAAUACCGUAUAAUACCAACAACCGCAUGGUUGUUGGUUGAAAGAUGGUUCUGCUAUCACUAAGAGAUGGACCCGCGGUGCAUUAGCUAGUUGGUAAGGUAACGGCUUACCAAGGCAAUGAUGCAUAGCCGAGUUGAGAGACUGAUCGGCCACAAUGGGACUGAGACACGGCCCAUACUCCUACGGGAGGCAGCAGUAGGGAAUCUUCCACAAUGGGCGCAAGCCUGAUGGAGCAACGCCGCGUGUGUGAUGAAGGGUUUCGGCUCGUAAAACACUGUUAUAAGAGAAGAACGGCACUGAGAGUAACUGUUCAGUGUGUGACGGUAUCUUACCAGAAAGGAACGGCUAAAUACGUGCCAGCAGCCGCGGUAAUACGUAUGUUCCAAGCGUUAUCCGGAUUUAUUGGGCGUAAAGCGAGCGCAGACGGUUAUUUAAGUCUGAAGUGAAAGCCCUCAGCUCAACUGAGGAAUGGCUUUGGAAACUGGAUGACUUGAGUGCAGUAGAGGAAAGUGGAACUCCAUGUGUAGCGGUGAAAUGCGUAGAUAUAUGGAAGAACACCAGUGGCGAAGGCGGCUUUCUGGACUGUAACUGACGUUGAGGCUCGAAAGUGUGGGUAGCAAACAGGAUUAGAUAC